rfam:complete chromosome Acholeplasma palmae.
AGUAAAUCAAUGAUUAAGAGAAGUAAUUUAUUUUAUGUUUUAAAAAGAGAUCUAGCAGAGGGUGAAAAGUUAGAAAACAGGAUAAAUGAAAAACACUUAUGAGAGAUAGAAGAAAGCACUAGCGAGUAGAACUAUCCGUAUCUUCUGCGUUAAAGAAUUUAAAGCUAGUUUUAAACUAGAAAAUAAGGUGGUACCGCGUCAUUUAACGCCCUUAGG